UACGUAGGGGGCAAGCGUUGUCCGGAUUUACUGGGCGUAAAGCGCGCGUAGGCGGAAGCGCCAGUCCGGCCUGAAAGCCCCCGGCUCAACCGGGGAGAGUGGCUGGAAACUGCGUUUCUUGAGGGCGAGAGGGGAGGGUGGAAUUCCUGGUGUAGCGGUGAAAUGCGUAGAGAUCAGGAGGAACACCCGGGGCGAAGGCGGCCCUCUGGCUCGACCCUGACGCUGAGGCGCGAAAGCGUGGGGAGCGAACGGG
rnacentral:rRNA from 1 species